rnacentral:lncRNA from 1 species
AGCGGUCUCAGAGCUUCAGGUUCUGCCCUGUCCUGCCCGGGUCGGGGGUCUCCGGGGGUCUCGGGGGGGCUCCGGGGGUCUUUGGAGCUGCAGGUGCUGCCUCGACCGUGCUCGGGCCGGGGGUCCCGGGGGUCUCCAGGGAUCCCGGGGGUCUCGGGAGUCUUGGGGGGUCUUGGAGCUUCAGGUUCUGCCCUGUCCGUGCCCAGGUCGGGGGUCCCGGGGGGUCUCGGGGGGGUUCCGGGAGUCUCUGGAGCUGCAGGUGAAGGACGAGGGUGGGCAAGCUCUGGGCAGUCUCAGCUUGCCCCUGGCGGAGCUGCUGGCCCGGGAGGGGCUGGCCAUGGACGGCUGGGUCCCGCUGGCCGGGGGCGCUCAGCUCCUGCUGCGGGCGCAGCUCGGGGUGCUGGUGUCGCAGCGGGUGGAGGCGAGCGCUGCCAGCAGAGCCCCCGAGGGGGGGGACACGGAGCCGCGACAGGAGGAGGAGGAGGAGGAGGAGGAGGGUGAAGAUGAGCGCGGGGUGGGGGGGCUGCGCCAGCGCCUGCCCCCGGCGGACAGGUGGGGACAAAUCCCACCCUCCCCGGACAUCCCAACCC